CGCCAGACUCCUACGGGAGGCAGCAGUGGGGAAUAUUGCACAAUGGGGGAAACCCUGAUGCAGCAACGCCGCGUGAGUGAAGAAGUCCUUCGUGAUGUAAAGCUCUAUCAGCAGGGAAGAAAAUGACGGUACCUGAGUAAGAAGCCACGGCUAACUACGUGCCAGCAGCCGCGGUAAUACGUAGGUGGCAAGCGUUAUCCGGAUUUACUGGGUGUAAAGGGCGUGUAGGCGGGGAAGCAAGUCAGAUGUGAAAACCACGGGCUCAACCUGUGGCCUGCAUUUGAAACUGUUUUUCUUGAGUACUGGAGAGGCAGACGGAAUUCCUAGUGUAGCGGUGAAAUGUGUAGAUAUUAGGAGGAACACCAGUGGCGAAGGCGGUCUGCUGGACAGCAACUGACGCUGAGGCGCGAAAGCGUGGGGAGCAAACAGGAUUAGAUACCCCCGUACUG
rnacentral:rRNA from 1 species